UGACGGUAGUCGUUGCUCGUCUCCGAGACUAAGCCAUGCAAGUCCAAGUACACGUCCUUGAACGACGGAAACUGCGAACGGCUCAUUAAAUCAGUUGCGAUCUACUCGGCGUUCCGCGCCGCCGGAUAACCGUAGUAAUUCUAGGGCUAAUACGUGCGAAGCGCCCGAAGCCGCGAGGCGACGGGCGUUCUCGCCGGAUGUAGGAACCGACCCGGGGACCGCCGGGGCAACCCGGCGCCCCCGAGACGGGGCGAACCACGGUGAAAUGACGGAUCGUCGGCCCCGCGCCGGCGACUCGCCGAAUGAGUUUCUGACCUAUCAACUCGAGACGGCGGGGUAGAGGCCCGCCGCGGUAACGACGGGUAACGGGGAAUCAGGGUUCGAUUCCGGAGAGGGAGCCCGAGAAACGGCUACCACUUCCAAGGAAGGCAGCAGG
rnacentral:rRNA from 1 species